CAGGGAGGCGUAACAGCCUUACCAGUUUGAACCAGAACUUGCUUUGCUGGACUGAACGUUGGCUACGCGAUAGCAAAGUAGCGCUUAACAUCGGGCCAGCAACAAGAUAGUGGAGAAACCCAAACGCCACCACGGAUUUUUUAUGGGACAAACGCACGGGCCUCGCCGCGAAAACGAUGCCUCACAAUAGACGAUACACAUCUUCAGAUAGAGAUAGUCGAACCAGCUAUCCAGACAGAUACAGAGACAGAGGACGAAGAUAUCGACAAAGAAGGACACCUACUAACUCCACCAGUAGUGACAGAGAUCGUGACAGAAGGGGACGAGGGUACCGACAAGAAGGAAGCUAUCUACGCUCAAGGAGAACACAGCAUUUUGUCUGUGUGUCUCUGUGCAGCCGCAGCUAUGACAAUCGCUCAACAGAACACCGGCCGUUCGACAGAAGAUACUAUGAGGGAUACAGACGAUUGGACCAGAGCCGUGAGCGGGACAGGGACAGGGAGCCGCACGGAGCAGCCGAAAACUAUUAUCCUCGAGAUUUCUCCCCGAACAUGUACGACUACCGACACGGCCGUGAGAGAGAGCGUGAGCGGGACGACUCGUACCGGCGGAAGGGCAGCAGGCGUAAGCACAAACGAAGGCGGCGUAGAACCAGGUCCUAUAGCCCCUCGUCCUCGCGGAGCGCCAGUCGGACACGAGCACUGAGUGUGAGGGACGACGAGGAAGGGCACCUGAUCUGUCGGAGUGGGGACGUCCUGCAAGAGAGAUACGAGGUUGUCAGCACUUUGGGGGAAGGCACCUUUGGGAGGGUGAUGCGCUGCAUUGACCAUCGCAGGGGAGGAGCCCAUAUUGCUCUGAAAAUCAUCAAGAAUGUUGAGAAGUACAAGGAAGCAGCUCGACUUGAGAUUAACGUUUUAGAGAAGAUAAAUGAAAAAGAUCCUGAUAACAGAUUCUUGUGUGUACAGAUGUAUGACUGGUUUGACUACCACGGUCAUAUGUGUAUCUCCUUUGAGCUGCUAGCUCUGAGCACUUUCGACUUCCUAAAGGAAAACAACUACCUACCCUACUCAAUUGGUCAAGUCAGACACAUGGCCUACCAGCUCUGUCUUGCUGUGAAAUUUCUUCAUGAUAAUAAACUGACACACACAGAUCUGAAGCCAGAAAACAUCCUGUUUGUCAACUCUGACUUCACAAUGACGUAUAAUGUAGAGAAGGUAAGAGAACAAAAACGAGAGGAGCGAACCGUCAAAAGCACAGCAGUACGAGUCGUGGACUUUGGCAGUGCCACUUUUGACCACGAGCACCACAGCACCAUCGUGUCGACGAGGCAUUACCGUGCCCCCGAGGUGAUAUUAGAACUAGGCUGGAGUCACCCCUGUGAUGUCUGGAGCAUCGGCUGCAUCCUGUUUGAAUACUACUUGGGCUUCACCUUGUUUCAGACUCAUGACAACAGAGAGCAUUUGGCGAUGAUGGAAAGAAUCCUGGGUCCAGUGCCCUCAAGGAUGAUUCGUAAGACCAGGAAACAGAAGUAUUUCUAUCGCGGACGACUAGAUUGGGACGAGAGCUCGUCGGCGGGAAAAUAUGUCAGAGAAAACUGCAAACCAUUGCGGCGGUACCUGCUGUCCGAAGCAGAGGAGCACCACCAGUUGUUUGACCUGAUUGAAAGCAUGCUGGAGUACGAGCCGUCCAAGAGGCUGACUCUGUCAGACUCCCUCAAGCAUCCUUUCUUCGAGAACAGUGGCACCGGCGAGGCGGCCGGCAGCAAGAACUGGGAGGGCAACCGCGACAUCAGCCGGUGACCUUUGCUCUUCACAGACUGACUGACAGGGGAGAUCAGGAGCUGAACUGUUCAGUCACCUUGGACAGGAGGUUCUGUGAGAGAUAACAGCAUGGACACCUUGACUUCCUGCUCCUCCAGCACGACCUUCCCUUGUCCUUCCCGUCGGCACAAGUGGCAUGUUUUAUUUUAUUUUUUUGCAGCAGAGAGACCAAAAUAAGCAGUACAAAACUGGAGAAGAGUUGAAUCUUUUCUAGUGAUCACAGCCCAAGAAACAAGGUUGAAUAAAAUUGAAGGUGAGAAAUCUCCAAACUGCCCUCUAUGCAGCUUCUGUCUUCCUGUCGACUGGGGAACACCUCUCUUCCCGCCGUCCGAAGAAAAUGACACCAUCGACACUCUCCGUCUCUCAAACACGAAUCAGUUCGGAAGCAGAAAUCUCUCCCAGUGCUGAAGUCCGAGAAAAGGCAGCCGUGUCAUGAGCCAGGGAUUAAGAAAUGUGGAUGAUCUGCAGCAGCAGAAGUCGAGGAAGCGGCGCACCUGGUCCAUCUGUUGGUAAUCUUCCUGUUGCUCUAUUAACCUCUCACAUUCUCUUUAUCUAUAACUCACUUAAUAUUUAAAGAUGGCGCCUUCAGGCUUUGUUCACUUCUUUUUCUUUUUUAUUACUUUAAGCUUAGCUUUGCAUUAAAAGUACAUUGCUUUGUAAAAAUAUCCGCACCUUUUAGAGCCUUUUUAUGUAAAGUUUAUGUAAGAUACCAAAAUUAAGUAGAGCAUUGUUGUGAAGUCGAAGGAAAACGAUCCGUGGUUUUAAUUUACAAAUAAAACUGAAAUGUGUGGCAUGCCUUUUCACACAGUUUCCCAGGAGUCAAUAAUUCAUGGAUCCAGUUUUUAGGAUUACAUCUCUACCAACUUUGGUCAUCUGCCCAUUAUUCCUGAAUCUUAUUCUAACAGACGUGUAUCUUUUGAUUGAAAUCGUUUCAUUGUAUAAUUUAGUGUCAUCGUUUUGUUUUCUGUGUCUUCCUGUUUAUUUUGCUCCAUCCGUCUUCCGAGUUGUAUCCCCACAGUCUGAUACUGCCACUACCGUGUUUGAUUUUUAGCUAUUGGGCAUUUAGGUUGGUUGUAUUUAGGUGAAAAAAGUAUUUCAGUUUCAUCUGACUGGAUCAACUUCUUCCACUGUUAUUCUUGUGCAAAGUGUUUUUUAUUUUUAUUGAUCUCAGCGUGAGACGUUCUGAAUAAAAAUACAUGCUAGA